UUUCACUGGAUCUCAAAAUAAAACGAGAAAGCUGAGGUGAAUCGCGGCAACCAACUGGAAAACCAUCAAACUAGCCUACUCAAGUAGCUGGAUGAGCACCACGAUGAGAAGAGCGAUGAUCUGAUGUCAUGACACAUUGGAUGUAUGGAAGAGCCAGAGGUCCAGCACACCAAGUCAAGUUUAGCCGAUUUCAACCUCUUAAUCACACCAACUCAAUGUAGUAAUCAGUUCAUUCAA